rnacentral:rRNA from 1 species
UGGGGAAUAUUGCACAAUGGGGGAAACCCUGAUGCAGCGACGCCGCGUGAACGAAGAAGGUAUUCGUAUCGUAAAGUUCUGUCCUAUGGGAAGAUAAUGACAGUACCAUAGAAGAAAGCUCCGGCUAAAUACGUGCCAGCAGCCGCGGUAAUACGUAUGGAGCGAGCGUUGUCCGGAAUUAUUGGGCGUAAAGGGUACGCAGGCGGUUUAAUAAGUCGAAUGUUAAAGAUCGGGGCUCAACCCCGCAAAGCAUUGGAAACUGAUAAACUUGAGUAGUGGAGAGGAAAGUGGAAUUCCUAGUGUAGUGGUGAAACACGUAGAUAUUAGGAGGAAUACCAGUAGCGAAGGCGACUUUCUGGACACAAACUGACGCUGAGGUACGAAAGCGUGGGGAGCAAACAGG